rnacentral:rRNA from 1 species
UACGUAGGGAGCAAGCGUUGUUCGGAUUUACUGGGCGUAAAGGGCGCGUAGGCGGCAAUUCAAGUCACUUGUGAAAUCUCCGGGCUUAACUCGGAACGGUCAAGUGAUACUGCUUUGCUAGAGUACGGAAGAGGCGAGUGGAAUUCCCCGGUGUAGCGGUGAAAUGCGCAGAUAUCGGGAGGAACACCUAUUGCGAAGGCAGCUCGCUGGGACGUCACUGACGCUGAGACGCGAAAGCGUGGGGAGCAAACAGG